GAAUCAACGAGAAGCUUUUCUUCAGCCUGAAGAACGGGACCAUGCAGUACAAGCUCCUGCCGGCUGAGGCCGUGUUUGCCAACACCCUGGGGCUCCUCAUCCUCAUUUUUGGAGUGCUGGUGGUGGCUGCCCUGGCCAGGCCCAGCUGGAAGCGCCCAGAUUCCGACUCCCCGGACUCCCGCCAGCCCCUGCUCUCUGCUGAGCGCUGAUCCCAGGGAUCUCCCAGCACUCCCAAGCUGCGUCCUUGUGCUCCAUGUGCCAGCUCCUGCCUGGAUCCCGGGGCAUGCCCUACCCCAGCGCUUGCCGGUGCCAUCCCUCAACGCCGCGGCUGGAGCUGCCAGAGCCUUGCUGGGACAAGGAGGAGCAUCCGUAUCCCUCCCACUCCAGAGGAUCCGGCUCAGGGUGGAGCCACUCAGGGACCUCACGGACAUGGAAUAAAACAUUGGCUUCUGCAGGG